rnacentral:ncRNA from 1 species
AAAUAAAUAUAUUUUAAAUAAAUAUCUUAAUAAUUAAUAUUAUUAUUUAAAUUAAAUAAAUUUAAAAUUAGUAAUAUAUUAAUAUUAUUAAUAAAAAUUGUGCCAGCAAUUGCGGUUAAACAAUUAAUAAAAAAUAAAUUCAAAUUAAAUUUAAUUUCUUUAAAUAUUAAUAAAUAAUAAAAAUUAAUUAAUAAAGUUAAAUUAUUAAAUUAAUUUAUAAAAAUUAAUUUUAAAAAAAAAAAUUUAAUAAUUUGCAAAAAAAACUAGGAUUAGAUACCCUAUUAUUAAAUAAAAUUUUAAAAAUUUAAUUAAUAAAAAAAAUUAAAAUUAAAGAAUUUGACGGUAUUUUAAUCAUUUUAGAGGAAUUUGUAUAGUAAUUGAUAAUCCACAAUUUAUUAAACUUAAUUUAAUAGAAUUUGUAUAUCGUUGUUAUAAAAAUAUUUUUUAUAAAUUAAUUAAUAUUUUAUAUUUUAAAAUUUAAAUUUAUAUCAAAUCAAGAUACAAUUAUAUAAUUAAGAAUAUUAUGAAUUACAUUAAAAAUAUAAAUUUAUAGUUUAAAUAAAUGAAAAAUUUUAAAAUAAAUUGGAUUUAAAUGUAAUAAAAAAAAAAUAUUUUUUAUGAUUAAUGUUUUAAAAUAUGUACAUAUUGCCCGUCACUCUUAAUAAAUAAAUAUAAUUUAAUUAAGAUAAGUCGUAACAAAGUAGAUAUAUUGGAAAAUGUUUCUAGAAAAU